ensembl:processed_transcript
CACCCUUUGUCCCACAAGUGGGAGGGGGCGACCGUGGCGAAGGGUCCCAGAAUGGGCAACCGGCAUGGGGGUGUCGACCGUGGGCACCGUUCCCCGCCUUUGGGUGCUCAGGGUACAAGGGGCCGAGGCCCCGCUCUCACCCACCCGCGCACGGACUCCAGCCCCGGGACCGACGGCAGUGGCGGCGCCCAUGCCCAGCGCAGGGGAGCGUCUGCAAAGUGUCGCGGAGAGAAGCGCCCACCCACCAGUAAGCGGGCGUAGCGGCAGAGGAGGGGGAGAACUGGAUGGCGGAGCGCGGAGACGUGGGCACUAACCGAAUCAGGCCUGCCGAGCCUGGGGCGCCUCUUCCUGGAGCCCAGCACUGCAUAAAACUGGUUGAAACAGAAGAAUCAGAAGUUCAAGGUUAUCUUCUCCAAUAUAUUGAGUUGGAGGCCGGCCUGGGCUACAUGAAAUCGCAUCUGAAAACAAGGAUGGAGAGCAGCUGUGAUUCUUGCCAGUGACCCAGCAGGGGAAAGUAAGGUCUCCAGAGGAGACCAGCCAUUCCUAGG